rnacentral:rRNA from 1 species
GAUGAACGCUGGCGGCGUGCCUAAUACAUGCAAGUCGAACGCUGGAGCUCUAGCUUGCUAGAUCGAAGGAGUGGCGCACGGGUGAGUAAUACAUAAGCAACCUACCCACGAAGACUGGGAUAAUCUCUGGAAACGGGGACUAAUACCGGAUAGGUAAUCGGAAGGCAUCUUCUGGUUAUUAAAGGUUAAAAACACUGGUGGAUGGGCUUAUGGCGCAUUAGUUAGUUGGUGAGGUAACGGCCCACCAAGACGAUGAUGCGUAGCCGGCCUGAGAGGGUGAACGGCCACAUUGGGACUGAGACACGGCCCAGACUCCUACGGGAGGCAGCAGUAGGGAAUUUUCGGCGAUGGGGGCAACCCUGACCGAGCAACGCCGCGUGAGUGAAGACGGCCUUCGGGUUGUAAAGCUCUGUUGUAAGGGAAGAACGGUAGAUAGAGAAUAUCUAAGUGACGGUACCUUACCAGAAAGCCACGGCUAACUACGUG